rnacentral:rRNA from 1 species
GAUGAACGCUAGCGAUAGGCUUAACACAUGCAAGUCGAGGGGUAACGUGUUGGAAGCUUGCUUCCGAUGACGACGACCGGCGGAUGGGUGCGUAACGCGUAUGCAACUUGCCUCACAGUGGAGAAUAACCCGGAGAAAUCCGGACUAAUGUUCCAUACACUCUUAAGUACCCCUGUACAUGAGAGGAAAGAUUUAUCGCUGUGAGAUAGGCAUGCGUCCUAUUAGGUAGUUGGUGAGGUAACGGCUCACCAAGCCGACGAUAGGUAGGGGUGCUGAGAGGCAGAUCCCCCACAUUGGGACUGAGACACGGCCCAAACUCCUACGGGAGGAAGCAGUGAGGAAGAUUGGUCAAUGGAGGAAACUCUGAACCAGCCAAGUCGCGUGAAGGAAGAAUGUCCUAAGGAUUGUAAACUUCUUUAGCGAGCGAGUAAGGACUUCCACGUGAUGGGAGUUUGAAAGUAGCUCGAGAAUAAGUAUCGGCUAACUCCGUG